UUACCUAAACUAACAAAUUUCCCCAAACUGUUUAUGGAUUACUAAGACAAUAUUUUCUUCUUUAUUUUCAGCUGUUAGAAAGCAAGCUUUAGGGUGAAGUAGAACCAGCGUAAAUGAAGAAUAUAUAGUUGUCAAUUGAAUGGCUGUCUGAAUGAGGUUGAGUGGUAAAGACAGAUGGAGACCAUAGUGACCUGAGGCCGGCCGAUGAAGACUUGGUUGUUGGUGGUUAAGGGAUGUGACAUGUGAGUGAACUGGACAUGGGUUGCAAAGAGGAACACUGACCUGCCAUAAUCUACUGCAUCUUUCCUGGAGGUGAAGUUCAUUUUCUGUCAAAGAGAAAAAGACAAGUAAAUUCCACAAUCUAUAAAUCCACCCCUUCAUGCACAAAGGUUCCACUCCUGGAGAGCCUAAGGCAACCAAUGUCUCCAAAGGAAUGUUGCAGAUCUAGGUAAUGGAGCAUCAAGACUGGCUGGUAACAUAUUCAAAAAAGAGACAACUAGGCACUAUGCCUUCUGCUGAAAGAACACAGAACUAGUGAGAGACCCAUCAAAGGCAGGAACCAACAUCUGAUCAAGCAUCUGGAUGCCACCUUCAAUUUAUAGCAGCCCUAGGAAACAAAUACAGAAGGUGUGGGGAGGAGCAUGCAUGGAGGAUGUACACACUGAUUUAUUUAAGGGCAAAGAAGAAAGGACACUAUCUUUGG